rnacentral:tRNA from 1 species
UAAUAUGAAGCAAAUUAUGCAAUUAGUUUCGACCUAAUUUCUUUGAUAUUUAAUUAUCCAUAUUAA